GAAGGAGGUAGGAACAGAGGGUAUCUGAGACUCAUCUCACAGAGUCAUGGAGUUAAAAUGGAUUGAUUCAAGUGGCUAAAAAUUUGCCUGAAGAUAUUUUUCCGUAUUUACUAUUAGGAACUAUUAAUUUCAACAGUUCGAGACAGGAGGCCAUGGAGAGUGUAGGAAUCAAAAAGAAUAAAUAUUUGAAAAAGCAACCAGUAAACAGACAGGGAUUUAGACUAAUGACCUAAACAGAAAAUAAUGUCAUGGGUUCAGAGCUGCACAGACUAAUCCUCUGGUGAUAAAUCUUAACUGCAAGGCUUUAUAAACUUUUCCUGACUUGUGGGUGAACUUCAGGAUAGAAACAAGAGGAGCUAGUUGCCCUUGGAAAUCUGCCGGUGAUGUAGAGGGAAAAAGGAAGCUGGAACAGGAGGAAAGACUGGCUAAGUGUCUGAAGGCUGCUGCCACCUGGUUUUUGAAUCAACAUAGGUCAUGUCAGAUGCAAAGAAGCAAAUCCAGCAUCGUUAGCCAGCAGCUGCUGCCCGCUCCAUGCAAGAGCCUCUGAACAGCAACAUCCCGAGGAGCUGAACACAUCCAAGCCCAAAAGGACCAGAAUUUGCCCUGUUAGGGCCAGGUGAGUUUAACCCAUUAAGGACAUUAUACUGUGUUUGGUAUCACUAAGAAGAGUCCUAUUGUGGAAUCUUGUUCCUUAUGCUAAGAAAAUGCGGCCGUUUAGAAGAACAGCCCAGUUAUUAAUAGAGUAGAAAUUUUCUUUGAGUACCCUGCAAGCUUAAGUCCCCAUCGGAAGCAACUCAUUCUUUUUAUAGCUUUUAAAUAGUACAAAUUUUCUGAACAAAGUUAUUGAUUCACAUUUUCUUUCAUUUUAUUGCUAGUGAUUUAGCUAAAUAGCAAGAUAAAGAGACUUGAGACAAACAACAAUACAACAACAAAAGAGUACAGAUCUGAAAGAGGGCUUGAUAUUCUAUUAACCAAUUAACAUUUUUAUUCUGGGGCCAAGAAGUACACAUUUGCCUUUAACAGAAUGACCAACCAAAUUGCUGUCAGUCAGCCAAUCUGAUAAAGGUCAACUACUGAAAACCCUGUCUGUCAGUACACAAAGUGAGUGACCUGGGCAGUCAGAAGUUCAUCUGUUGUUUUGAAAGAAAAGUACACUAUUUUCAUAGAUGCAUCUGUUCUGCAUCAAUUACAAAACCUUUAAUGAAGUUUCAUGGUGGAAAUAAUCCACAAUGAAAUUAUCAGCUUUCCUAAUUAUACUCCUUGUUCAUUGGGGCUUAUUUGGGUAUCUUGAGAACACAAACCUGGUUUAAAUUAAAUUAUAUAUUUUAAGUCCUUUAAAAUGUUGUUUGCUUUUACUUUAGUCAAACAACUCUUCCCAACAGUUCUGGCUGAGUAAAACUGGCAGGGGUAGAAAAGAGGAAUACGGCCACUAUUCCUAAGACAGACAAUUAUUUUGUGUAGAGAUUCACAUUUUAGAUUGUAGAACAAAACUUUAACUGUUGUUUACCUAUUUUCAAAUUAUCUAACUAUGGAAAGAUUUUAAGCAG
rnacentral:lncRNA from 1 species